rnacentral:rRNA from 1 species
UACGUAGGGGGCUAGCGUUGUCCGGAAUCAUUGGGCGUAAAGAGCGUGUAGGCGGCUCGGUAAGUCCGCUGUAAAAGUCAAAGGCUCAACCUUUGAAUGUCAGUGGAUACUGCCGGGCUAGAGUCCGGAAGAGGCGAGUGGAACUCCUGGUGUAGCGGUGGAAUGCGCAGAUAUCAGGAGGAACACCGGUGGCGAAGGCGGGUCUCUGGGCAGUAACUGACGCUGAGGAGCGAAAGCGUGGGGAGCGAACAGG